rnacentral:piRNA from 1 species
UGUUAAUGUAUUUUUUAAUAAUAAAAUAAAU